rnacentral:rRNA from 1 species
UUCUGACGUGCAAAUCGAUCGUCAGACCUGGGUAUAGGGGCGAAAGACUAAUCGAACCAUCUAGUAGCUGGUUCCCUCCGAAGUUUCCCUCAGGAUAGCAGGCGCUCGAUUAGAUCAGUCUCAUCCGGUAGAGCUAAUGAUUAGAGGUCUUGGGGUUGAAACGACCUCAACCUAUUCUCAAACUUUAAAUGGGUGAGAUGGUUGACUUGCUUGAUUUGAAGCCAACCAAUUGGAUGUAUGGGUGCCUAGUGGGCCAGCUUUGGUAAGCAGAACUGGCGCUGUGGGAUGAACCAAACGUCGAGAUAAGGCAUCAAAUGCAUACACGCUCAUGAGACCCCAUGAAAGGUGUUGGUUGCUAUAGACAGCAGGACGGUGGUCAUGGAAGUCGGAAUCCGCUAAGGAGUGUGUAACAACUCACCUGCC